rnacentral:rRNA from 1 species
ACUCCUACGGGAGGCAGCAGUGGGGAAUAUUGCACAAUGGGCGCAAGCCUGAUGCAGCCAUGCCGCGUGUAUGAAGAAGGCUCGUUCGGAUGUAAGUUACUUCAGCGUGAAGGAGUGGGUAUGUUAAUAGCAUACUCAUUUGACGUUAGCUGCAGAAGAAGCACCGGCUAACUCCGUGCCAGCAGCCGCGGUAAUACGGAGGGUGCGAGCGUUAAUCGGAAUUACUGGGCGUAAAGCGCAUGCAGGUGGUUUGUUAAGUCAGAUGUGAAAGCCCGGGCUCAAGCCUC